rnacentral:rRNA from 1 species
AUACGGAGGAUCCGAGCGUUAUCCGGAUUUAUUGGGUUUAAAGGGAGCGUAGAUGGAUGUUUAAGUCAGUUGUGAAAGUUUGCGGCUCAACCGUAAAAUUGCAGUUGAUACUGGAUAUCUUGAGUGCAGUUGAGGCAGGCGGAAUUCGUGGUGUAGCGGUGAAAUGCUUAGAUAUCACGAAGAACUCCGAUUGCGAAGGCAGCCUGCUAAGCUGCAACUGACAUUGAGGCUCGAAAGUGUGGGUAUCAAACAGGAUUAGAUACCCUGGUAGUCCACACGGUAAACGAUGAAUACUCGCUGUUUGCGAUAUACUGCAAGCGGCCAAGCGAAAGCGUUAAGUAUUCCACCUGGGGAGUACGCCGGCAACGGUGAAACUCAAAUGAAUUGACGGGG